rnacentral:rRNA from 1 species
CCCUUAGAUGUUCUGGGCCGCACGCGCGCUACACUGAUGCAUUCAACGAGCCUAUCCUUGACCGACAGGUCCGGGUAAUCUUUGAAUCUGCAUCGUGACGGGGAUAGAUUAUUGCAAUUAUUAAUCUUCAACGAGGAAUGCCUAGUAGGCGCAAGUCAUCAGCUUGCGUCGAUUACGUCCCUGCCCUUUGUACACACCGCCCGUCGCUCCUACCGAUUGGGUGUGCUGGUGAAAUGUUCGGAUCGGCCGUUUGUCGCGGUUUCCGCGUCAUGUGGCUGAGAAGUUCAUUAAACCCUCCCACCUAGCGGAAGGAGAAGUCGUAACA